UUCCUACGGGGGGCAGCAGUGGGGAAUAUUGCACAAUGGGGGGAACCCUGAUGCAGCGACGCCGCGUGAGUGAAGAAGUAUUUCGGUAUGCAAAGCUCUAUCAGCAGGAACGAGACAAGACGGUACCUGACUAAGAAGCCCCGGCUAACUACGUGCCAGCAGCCGCGGUAAUACGUAGGGAGCGAGCGUUGUCCGGAAUUACUGGGUGUAAAGGGAGCGUAGGCGGGCGAGAAAGUUGAAUGUUAAAUCUACCGGCUUAACUGGUAGCUGCGUUCAAAACUUCUUGUCUUGAGUGAAGUAGAGGG
rnacentral:rRNA from 1 species